UUGGAGGGCAAGUCUGGUGCCAGCAGCCGCGGUAAUUCCAGCUCCAAUAGCGUAUAUUAAAGUUGUUGCAGUUAAAAAGCUCGUAGUUGAAUUUCGGAGUUUGUCGGUUGGUCGGGCUUCAUUGUCCGCACUGGCCUGAUGGAUUCCUACCUUCUGAAUAACCAGCAUGCUAUUAAGUUAGUGCGUUGGGGAAGCAGAGCUAUUACCUUGAAAAAAUUAGAGUGCUUAAAGCAGGCUUAUGCUUGAAUAGAUUAGCAUGGAAUAAUAAAAUAGGACGGCAUGGUUCUAUUUUGUUGGUUUCUAGGAUCACCGUAAUGAUUAAUAGGGAUAGUUGGGGGCAUUAGUAUUCAAUUGUCAGAGGUGAAAUUCUUGGAUUUAUUGAAGACUAACUUCUGCGAAAGCAUUUGCCAAGGAUGUUUUCAUUAAUCAAGAACGAAAGUUAGGGGAUCGAAGACGAUCAGAUACCGUCGUAGUCUUAACCAUAAACUAUGCCGACUAGGGAUCGGACGAUGUUAAUUUUUUAAUGACUCGUUCGGCGCCUUACGGGAAAC
rnacentral:rRNA from 1 species